GCCUCGAGGUCCGCGGAGGGUGGGACGGGGAGAAAGUAGCUCCUGUUCGCGUCUGAGUCCCUGAAGAGCAAAGUUUGGUGUGGCUGUAUCACGUCCCAAACCUAAGCAGGUAGUGUAGUUUUAAUUUUCAAGACAGCCAGUGCCCCCGGUUUAUUUUUAGAAGCACCUGCACACAGAAGAUACAGCCGAGAACCAGAGACCUUCAGAGAUUGCGGGGAAAGGGUGGCCCCGAGGAAAGCACCUGAGAAAAAGACGCCUGGAUUAUCAAAGACCCGGGCGGGGACAGUGCAAGCUGUGAGCAACCUUGCAAAGGAGAGGUGGCCAGAGGGUGGAGUGUGAACAAGAUCCAUCCUGCACCUGAAAUUAAGAUUGCAUAUUAAGUUCUCAAGGAAGUUGUUUACUCUGAGUAACUACUGAGUAGAAGAUGUUGGAAAAUGACCAUCCUUCGCCUAUACAAAUAGUCUUCCAGUUGUCUAAUUUUUAAUUAAAACAUCAGUGACCUGUGCGUAUCACUUAAAUUACUCCCAUAUGAGCGCUUAUCAUUGGAUUCUUCUAGCUAGACCUUACCAUAAGGCUCUAUUAUCUUGAGAAUUAAACUCCUGAUUAUAAGUGUUAUACCAUUCCUGCUUUUGCCUGUUUAAGGAACUUGCUAGAGACCCAGACUCCAGGCUUUCUUCAACUUGUCCACAUUUGGAGAAUUGUUUGGCCUCUUUAAUCCAAACAUGAGAAUAAUUAGUCCAGGAUUCAGAGAAGCAGACCUAAUAAACUAUCCCAAAUAGGAAUCAGCUCUACUUUCUUUCUCUGCCUUUUUAAUGGGGGGGAAAGCCAAAUUCUCAGCAUGAGAACCUGUAAUGGCUUCACUGUUUUGUUCACUAGGAUUAUCAUCUGUGCAGAUAACUUAGCAUUGGCAUCACUAACAGACUUCUUUCAAAGGGAAAAGACAUUUCAGUAGGACUGAAACUGUCUUUAAGGUUUCAUUUGUUCCAUUUUGGCAGGGCCAAGCUAGCUAAUCCUUUUGAAAAUGGAUUGAUUUUCAUGUAAGGGCCUGAUUUGCCAUAUGGGUUACAGCAUAAAUAAAAGGGCUUCUGCAAUUAACUGCC